CCCUUAGAUGUUCUGGGCCGCACGCGCGCUACACUGAUGCAUUCAACGAGCCUAGCCUUGACCGAGAGGUCCGGGUAAUCUUUGAAACUGCAUCGUGAUGGGGCUAGAUUAUUGCAAUUAUUAAUCUUCAACGAGGAAUGCCUAGUAAGCGUGAUUCAUCAAAUCGCGUUGAUUACGUCCCUGCCCUUUGUACACACCGCCCGUCGCUCCUACCGAUUGAGUGUGUUGGUGAGGAGGUUGGAUUGGCCUCGGAAGGUGGUUCGCCACCGUCCGUAGCUGAGAAGUUCUCCAAACCGCCCCACUUAGAGGAAGGAGAAGUCGUAACA
rnacentral:rRNA from 1 species